GUUAGUAAAGUCGCAAAGAGUCAGAUUUUAUGCAUUAAUUUAUAUACUUAUAAACGAUAGUUAUAUAAAGUAGAAGCUAAAAUCGUGCCCGUUUUUUUUUUAUUACUUUGGCGGUAAGUGUAGGGCUGUGGAUAUCCCACAGCCGUGCAGUAAAUAGGGCGCAUCACUUUGAUUUAGCUCUUCUGUGCCAACACACCAGUUUGAUGCAUUACUGCUAAAAAAAAAGGCGCAAAGACUGUACCAACUAGUUAGGCUAGCCAGGAAACGUUUCCCAAAUCAGGCUAUGCUUAAAUAGCAGACUAGUUCAGCGUGAGGCUAUGCAUUUAACUAGAGAUCUACCUGUAAUGAAUGCGGUGUUGCGGGAGCAGGGAACCAGGCGCAGGCAGAGGUAGUCGGUGUUGAUUUUUUAAAUUUAAACAAAAGUAACACUGAGCACAAAAACAACGAAAGAAAAGGCGGACUUCAGCAGCAAAACGAAUGCAAUCAACGAUAUAAGACACCAAACUCAGGAUGCCGUACAUCACAGAUAUUGAUGUUUCCAUUUAUCCUCAUCAGGAGCAAGCCCUAACGAACAAAGGUUUCAAAAUAAUCAAUGUUGAUCUGAACAAAGGCACUAGCGGAAACCAUAUUUACCUCUGGUACAAGGAGGGCAGCAGCAAUCCCAUCACCAGAUUGCAGGUUACAUUCAAAGAUGACAUGCAAAAUGGUUUGAGGAAUGCAGGUUACCGUAAGGUGGAUAGAGACCUCAACGCUGGGGCUGGAGGAGAUGAAAUCUUUCUCUGGUACUACAAAGGUACAACUGAGUAUGACAACCCUAUAGUGGAUCUUAAGGUCACCUCAAAUGCAACAGAUGAAGCCCAAUAUUACCAGAAUGGCUGGGAACGACUGACGUGUGACCUGAAUCGCGAAGCUAAAGGCAAGUUGAUCCGUGUUUGGGUGAAGAAAGAAAAGAAAAUGUACAUCUCUGACAUCAAGGCAACUACCACUUUUGCAUUUGAUCACGAGUAUUUUUCCCAGGGCUACACCCGUGUGGAUGAAGAUGUGAAUCGAGCUGCAGGAGAAGCCUUUGUCUUUCUUUGGUAUCGUCAGUCCCAAACAUAUUACCAAACCAUCAAUCUCCUGGAUGUCUCCACUAACCGCGAGGAAGAGGAAAGCCUUCAGAUACAGGGUUAUACCGCUGUUGGUGUUAAUCUCAAUGAAGGAACACGAGGCCCCCGGAUAAAUGCCUGGUACAAGAAGGGUUCAGACCGUCCCAUCCAGACCUUCACUGUAAUAUUUCAACAUGAAAUGAGUCCUUAUGCGCAGGCUGGCAUCCAAGUCAUUGAAAAAAAUCUGAAUACAGGCAACAAAGGCACCCCCUUGUACCUGGCAUACCAAUGAGAUCAGGGGUUUCAUUUUCUGUAUUCCAUGUGCUCAGUAUACCUGUCAAAUUAGCGUAGCAUCACAUAGCUUAGAACAAGAUAGCACAACAACACAAAUACCAUGUAACAUGUUAAAGAAAACCUGUGGAUCAAGUCAGUUUAACACAGUCUUCAUGCAUUUUUUACAUUUAAUCUUCUAAUCAGAUUGUAUUUGAGAUAUCUAUAUUGUUGUUGUUGUUACUCCUUAUGCCUUUUGUGAUAUGGGUCAACA
ensembl:lncRNA